GGAAGGGGUGUAUUUAUUAGAUUAAAAGCCAACGCCCUUCGGGGCUUCCUGGUGAUUCAUAAUAACUUUUCGAAUCGCAUGGCCUUGCGCCGGCGAUGGUUCAUUCAAAUUUCUUCCCUAUCAACUUUCGAUGCGAAGGUCUUGUCUUCGCAUGGUUGCAACGGGUAACGGAGGGUUAGGGCUCGACCCCGGAGAAGGAGCCUGAGAAACGGCUACUACAUCCAAGGAAGGCAGCAGGCGCGCAAAUUACCCAAUCCCGACACGGGGAGGUAGUGACAAUAAAUACUGAUACAGGGCUCUUUUGGGUCUUGUAAUCGGAAUGAGUACAAUUUAAAUCUCUUAACGAGGAACAAUUGGAGGGCAAGUCUGGUGCCAGCAGCCGCGGUAAUUCCAGCUCCAAUAGCGUAUAUUAAAGUUGUUGUGGUUAAAAAGCUCGUAGUUGAACCUUGGGCCUGGCUGGCCGGUCCCCCUCACCGGGUGCACUGAUCCAGCCGGGCCUUUCCCUCUGUGGAACCCCAUGGCCUUCACUGGCUGUGGCGGGGAACCAGGACUUUUAC
rnacentral:rRNA from 1 species